CCAGCUUUUUCUUCAACUAAUUUCAACCGGUGGAUGAGGAUUGAGGAUGGAUAAGGAUUACCAUUAUCCUCCAUUACUAUUACUACAAAAUUCUAUCAGCAACUCCUCCUUUUGUAUUUAUUAAAAAUAAACUAAUAUUCGACCUUAUAAAUAUUCAGAAUAAAAUAUUACUAUAAUACUUGCAACAAGAUAAACAAAGAUGUCUCCCCUGUAUGCUCUGUGCUUCAGACUUCAGAGAUCCCAUUUUCAAUUUCAACUAAAAAAUUGCUCCAUUUUCAUGUGAUUCAUAUGAUCCUCAUCAUCAUCAUGAGCCUUUCUGUUGGAAAAAAUCAAAAAAAUCCCGUAUUCAUAGUGUGUAGUGUGGUUAUUUGUGUGCAGAUUUGAAAUUAGGCGGUUGAUUUUGUGAUAAAAUGUCGAUUAUUGAGAUGAAUAAUGGUGAUGGGGUUGAAAAUUGUUCUGGGUAUUCGUGUUUGUCAAUGGCGGUUGAACAGGAAAAGCAAUUUCGUGGCAGAGUUCGGAGGAUUGGGAAGGGUGGAGGAGAGAAGGGGAUGAAAGAGGAGAGAGAGAAGAUUAUGGGUUUUUUUUAGGUUCUUCUAGUUGUUCUUCAAUUGGGAAGAACAGUGAUGAUGAAGAUGGUGAUAAUGAGGAGGAAGAGGUUCACAGUUCAUACAAAUGUAAAAAUGGGUCAUUUGAUUCCAUACAAGCUCUGGAGGAGGCUCUUCCAAUGAGGUAUUUUUUAUUGGUCAACAAUAGGGGUUAAACGAUCACUUUUGUUUAUAACUGUACGAUCACAUUCUCUUUUCUGAGCCCCCUUCAGCUUUGGGCCAGGACUACAGCCCUGGACCAUGGCCGAUUCUCAUAAGAUAUACUUUUUCCGUUUUUAAAAAAUUGUCAUUUUAAAAGGUAAAAUUUAUUUUAAAAAAUUUGUCAUUUACAACUUUCGAGGAGAAUAAAUUAUUUAUUUUCCUAUAUUACCCAUACCUUCUUUCAUUGUCCCAAGAAAUUCUCUCCUUUGUAUUAAUAGUUUUCAACUUCCCAAAAAGGGGUAAUGAUGAAAUUUUAAACAAAUUUUACUUGAUAAAUGGUACUUUCUUAAUUCAUGUGCAAAAAUCUUAAAUGACAAUAUUUUAAGAACAGAGAUAGUAUCUUUUAUCCUUUCUCAAUUAAUAAUAUUGCAUAUAAUGAUACCUGGGAUUGUAAAAAAUUAUAAAUUCGAUUUAUGUCAUGUUUAUGCUUAAUUACAAUAUGACUGUAUGUAUGUACUCGUUUCUACAAACUUACAUUCCAAUAUCUCUACUCAAAAUGCUACUCAUGUUUCUAAUUUCUAAUAGGUUUUAUUACAUUUAAAAAUACAAAUAUACUUCUGUGUACAUGCACUGAAAAAAAAGAAGCAAAGGUUACUUGCAUGAUUAUGAGGAACAACAUGUCCAGCUCUACGCAUCAGCUCCAUAAAAAUGAAUUAACUUUAAUAGUGACACCUCCUGAAAUCAAAGAAAUUACAAUGGGCUUCAGCUAAAAACAACAAUUUGAAAAUAUCUUGAUUUUGAUUCAAAAACACCUAAGCAGAAAUAUGUAGCUGAGCAUUAAUAUCAAUUAUGGGUACUUUUUGUAACUACAAUAAAUCAUUUUGAGGGACCUCUCGGAACCUGAAUUGUUUCUUCAGAUUGGGAUGGGAAAUUAAAGCCGGUCGAGCAAUUCUGCAACUCUUCAGGGCUUUUCAUCCAUGCUCUACG
rnacentral:lncRNA from 1 species